rnacentral:lncRNA from 1 species
GCAAGUUGCUAGUAUGAGACGCUGCCUCACCUCAGUCUUCUCAUUUAUUAUUCAUCACAAUUGUGCAUGUAUGCAUUUUUGUUCCUAUUUAACAGAUACUCCAGUGGAAGCUCAGCCUCAAAUCUGAUGACACGAAUCACUUUUAUGUCCUAUGUCCUUGUCACCUCCGCUAUUUCCAAGACCGCAACCUAGAAAUUGUGAGAAGCCUACCCAGGACCACACUGACAACACAGUCUUCCAUGGUUCAACCUCCUGCCCCUUCCCGGUGCCAGUGUUCCCAAAUGCAGGGGGAUUUCAGACCUUCAGCUUUUCAUGUAUCUCCAAGGCACAGAUGCCGAGAGAGCUGACUUACCAGAGCACCCAUGGACUUGGACACCUAAGACGUCUGCUUGGGAUCCCACACUUUCAAGGUCUUUCCUCUGGCCUUCUUGUGGUUCUGCAACUCCUCACAGUGCUGGGAGUUGGUGAUGCCAACAGGACAUACCCUCCCAGAACCUACCUCUCCCAGAUCACUUUAAAAGGCACCCAGGACCCCAGAAUUCUCAUCCUCAAAGGCAUAGAGCUCAGUUCUUGACCCUCAACAAAUCUCUUCCUCGUAAAGAUCCUUUUGAGAGCGUAGGAUGCCCCCUGGAUGGUUUUGGUUGCAGAUUGUGGUGGUGGAGGGAGCUAUAAAAUGUAAUCUAUUACGAUUAAUUGGAUGCGCUAAUGGCAGAUUGGGUAGCGAUAACGCCAUAAGGCGUGGUGUGUGAACCAUGUGCUGCAUCUGUGCUAGCUCAGGUAAGUCAGCACACAAUGCCUGCAGCCUCCUCUCACCUCUUCCCUGAGCAGCACCUUUUGGCCUGAACGUGCCGAUCCCCCGGUUCUUCUUCUUGACAGCGACUUAACAUGCCCUGGGCAGCUUUUUAAAAUAAAUGAGUAUGAUAUUGACUAUGAAUCUAUAUAGAAGUCACUUGUUUUUCAGUCAUAAUCCAUGUCUAACUGCAGAAGAAAUUUCACACAUUUGAAAACAAAUAAAAGUGUAAAAGUGAAAACUUUUGUAACCGCAGUAUUCUGAAAUAGAAC